AACGAACGCUGGCGGCGCGCCUAAUACAUGCAAGUCGAGCGAGAAGGUGUAGCAAUACACUUGUAAAGCGGCGAACGGGUGAGGAAUGCAUGGGUAACCUACCCUCGAGUGGGGAAUAACUAGCCGAAAGGUUAGCUAAUACCGCAUACGUUUCCGGAACUUCGGUUUCGGAAAGAAAGCAAUACCGUGGGUAUUGCGCUCCUGGAUGGGCUCAUGUCCUAUCAGCUUGUUGGGUGAGGGUUAAACGGCUCACCAAGGCUUCGACGGGUAGCUGGUCUGAGAGGACGAUCAGCCUCACUGGCACUGCGACACGGGCCAGACUCCUACGGGAGGCAGCAGUAAGGAAUAUUGCGCAAUGGACGAAAGUCUGACGCAGCGACGCCG
rnacentral:rRNA from 1 species